AUUUACCGCUCUACCACAAAGCGAUGUACUCGAGAAAUCGUAGUAGGAAGGUCUAAUUCUAACCCGAAGGUCCUGGAAACGGAGGGUUUUGUUUGGCGAGAAGAUGGAGCUCGCGCUCGUCGCCGGCGACAACAAGCGCCGCAUCAUCCAACAGCUUGGUUUCCAUUCAGAUAACACCGUUGAAUCGUUUGUGCUUUCUGUUGUUUCUUUUGUUUGAAGCAAAACCUUGCAUUUAUAAGUUUCUUAGCGUCUCUUAUUUCUUAUGUUUUCAGUGAAAAAGGGAUUUUUUUUCGUAGGUGUUGUAUGUGAUUUCACGGACAUGUUUUUUUGAAUAAUUUCCGUUCAUAUUUUCUUCCCUUUCCCUUCGGAAUUCCCAGAAUCUGGAUCUUUUUUCUUCCUGUUUUUGUGGUGUUUUUGGGACAUCCCUGGGACUAGUAGAAUGAAAGAAAAGAGUGUAAUUCCAAUGAAAAGAGCGUUUCUUUAUUGUUGAUUGUUACAUAGUGAUAAAUGCGAGAAGCUGGGUGUCUCCGGUAAGUUCUGAUGAUACUGGUAAAUUGGAAUUAACAUGCAGAAAUUUGGAUCAAGUUUUAAUAUGAAUCCAAGCAACAAGAAGAAGUUGUAAUUCACCAGUUUACUGGAUACAGUUCUAAUUUUAGAUUGCAAAGAUGAUGGAAGAGAAAGGUGGGUGGGUAGGUAACUUGCAAUGAUUAUCUCGACGGAUGUGAAAUGGGCAUGACAAGUCGUCACCAUAGUUACCGUGCUUUUCAACUUUACAUGGGAGUAGGGUACCAAGAAAGAGCAUGACUGUCAGAGCACAGGGAUCAAGUUUUUCUUUUUGUAAAUUUAAAGGUGGUUGAGAGGCAAUGCUAAUUGUUUUACAUAAUUAAUUAAUCAAGAUAAAGAAGACAGAAAGCAGGAAUAAGUUGACAAUACUGUCCAUCAAAAUCUUUGUGUUGAGUCAAGCAUCAUGAUUCAAUGGUCAAAAAAUCUUCUUACGAUUGUGUACAUGGAAUAUCACUCUUUGAUUUGGACACAAUUGAAUUUGGAAAACACCAAAACUGACAUGUAAACUCCUUUUGGAAAGAAAGAGGAAAAAUCCUGUUAUCAGCUGGCUAAUGUUAAGGCACGUUAUUGUCUUCUUUCUUGCUUCUGCUUUAAGAGAGAAUUUGCAUUACUAUAUACCUUUCAAGAUUAUAUGACUGCUUCUGUUCACAGUUAUCAAAAUAGAGGACUUCCUUGGCCAGAGCAUGAAUGUCAGAUUUUAGGGAUCUAGUUUUUAUAUAUUUUUAAUGUGGUUGAAAGAAAAUUCUAAUUGUUUUAUAGAUAUUUUAGUCAAGGUUCGCAAUAUCGUAUCGUACCAGUGUUUCAAUCUGGGCUCGAUACCGGUACGGUACGGUGUACCGAGCGGUAUACCCAAGUGCACCGAUCACUGUAGCACUGUAUUUCUAUUAUAACAGUGCACUGUAACAGUAACUGUACUGUUGUAGUGCUACAGUGUACUGCAACAGUGCACUGUACUACUAUAGUGCUACAGUGCACUGCUACAGCGGACCGGUAGCGGACGGUCUGCGUACCGUUAGCCUAUCGGACCGGUACGUACCGCCCGUACCGGGUGGUACGAUUCGGUACGAUAGACCUUGAUUUUAGCUAUGGUUGGUUUGAAAAUGUCAAAUUUUAUUAAAAAAAGAGAAGCAGAGCAGUAAGACCAUGAGAAUCAUGAGAAUCAUGUUUACUAUCCUUUAAUUUGGCCAAGAAUUAUGAACAUGACUUAAUCGACAUAAAAUUGAUCUCUAUCAAUCUUAUAUGUGGACGAUAAUCUUUGCUUUGGAUGGUACUGAAAUUAUUUACAAAUGGAUCUAACACCAGUGAUUUAAAAAGCGCUAGGCGCCAAGGUCCAAAAACGCCCGAGGUGUUAGGCGCUUGCCCGAGCGAAGCGAGACAUAAAAUAUAAAAAUAUAUAAUAUAAUUAAUAAAUAUAUAAUAUAAUUAAUAAAUAUUAAUAUAUUAAUAGUAUUAAAAAAUAAUAAUUUUAAAUAAACAUAACAAAUAUUAAUAGUAUACAGUAUACCGUUAACAGUAUACUAUUGUAUACUGUUAACAGUAUACUGAAGGAGAAGAAAGAGUGUAAGGGGGUGCUGAGUCUGCUGACUGAGAAAAGAGGAAGCGGCAGCGGCAGUGACAACGGCAGCGGCAGCGGGAGCAGGAGCAGGAGCGGCGAGCGACGACAGCGGCAGCGGUUGCGAGUAGCGACAGCAGCGAGUAACGGGCGCGGGAGUGGCAGCAGCAAUGAGCAGGGUUAGCCUGUUAGGGUUGGGCAACGACAACUGAUAUCUAUUUUAGUUGGUUCGAUUGAACCAACUAACCACCGGAGACCGAACCAGACCUAAAAUCCUAGUUUGGUCACCUGGUUUAACACAGGCGCUCGCCCGAAGCGCCCAGCGCCUGGGCUCGGGCGAGCGCCUCUUUGAAGUGCGUCACCUGGAAGUUUAGCGAGGCGCUCGGGCCUCGCCUCGCCCGAGCGCCUAGGCGAGCGCCCGAGCGCCUUUUUAAAUCACUGUCUAACACAUCAAAUUAUUGGAUGGUAAGGAAAGUUUUCCCUUCGAAAGGAGGAGAGCGAAGAUCCCAAUUACAUGUAAUGAUUAGCAGCUACCUUGCUACAAUGAGGAACCAUACUUUUCUCAUCUUUUUUUUUAUUUUUUAUUUAAGAGUCAUUUGCAUUGUUAUCUCCUUGAUAUUAGAUAUUUGGCCCUUUUUUCUUCUUUCUCUUCACCCUUUUCUUCUUUUUUGCUUGUCUUUUGGGGGGUUACUCUAUCGCUGCAAUUGAACUGAACCAGUAAUUGAACAUUUUGCCUUAGUUAUUUUCUUUUAAUUUAAUUUAAUUUAAUUUUUAUUUUGAUCGUCUCUUUAUUUUACAAUGUAUGAUUUCCACUUUCUAAUGCCUUCUUCCAAAUAGGUUGUGCUACAAAUAGGUCUCCAGAAGGAGAAGACUUGUCCAUGCUUAAAGGCCUCCACGUUUAAGAUGGCAUUUCCAUUAUCAAAAUGAUCUGAGCUAUUAUGGAAAAUUAGCUGACACAAUUAGGUAGUUUUACGUAGACUAAUAAGAUGAAUAUCCUGGUCAACAAUUUUCUCCGAACACCUAAAGUAAGCAAAAGACAAAAUAGCAGGAUAGGUUUAAAUCAAGAAGAACCACUUGCACUAUAAUCAAUGGGCCAUAUACAACAAAAAAUCAUGUUGUUUGGAGUGCAUGCACGUUAAAUAUUCAAACUUGCCAUUAUUGUUCAAUGCUAUGUUUCUUCGAAUUUGACCAUUGUUACAUGAAGGCCAUGUACAACAUCCAACACAUUUGAUACUUUUUAUAUGCAAAUUGAGAAGUAAUUUCUAGUUGUUCAACACAUGUUUUAUGAUCUCAUUUCACAAAGUUUCCAUUUCUCUCUUGGAUACAGCCUUGAUUCUUCUUACAGGUGUUAGUCACACAAGAUCAAUCUUAUUUGAAGUUAAUAAAUUAUCUCAAAGUUGUUUAUGUGGCAUAUUGACUUGCAAUUUCUGACAGUUUUGUUAGUUAGAAUCAUGAUUAUUCUGUAGGACUUCACUGGGAUCUUGAAUAUUCAAGGAACUUCAAUAAUGUGGACAAGUCAAUCAUGCAAUCCUAUUCCUGCAAGUACAGAGGCUAUUUUUGUGACUUUAACUGUGGUCAUCCAACAAAUUUACUGUAGUGCCAAAACUUAUCCCCAAUACAUGAAUAAUUACGUUCCUCUAAAUUAAAAAAAAAAGGAAUAUGACCAAUUUCUGAAUGUUAGAUUGUAUAGAUUUCUAAGUCAUAAACUUUGAGAUCAGCAUUGAUGUUUGAGAUGGGAUCAGGAUUAUGAGUCUAGCAUUGAACUUGCAUCAUGUAGAGCAGACAGCUAUGUUUGUCCAUUUCUUUUUCUCCCAGAGGGCAACCCUGCAUCUAACAUCACUGAUUGGCAUCAAUGUAAAGUCUAGCUUGUCCAUUUCUUUUUGUGCUCUUUGUAAGCAUGCUCAUGGACUCAUAUUUGCAAGGUAUACUUGGCAUAUCCCCAUAUUGGCAGGAGCCAUAUGUUCCAUCCUUUCUUUUCUAUUGGCAGAAAUUUUAACCUAGUGUUGCAUGUAUAAUUUGUUUGUUUUUGUUUUUUGGUUUAAAGUUCCAGAAAUGCAAGAUGUUACUGUUCUGCACUUCUAUGACAAUGUGGAGCAAGUUAAUUUUGUAAUUUUACUGGUCUCGGAAGGUGCUGUCUAAAUUACAUGUUGUUCAUACAGCUACUUGUGAACUGCUAAUAGUUUUUUUUCUUGCUGAAGUGAAUCAAGCAUGUUAUUCUCCAAUCCGUGGAAAAAUUCUUUGGACCCCAUAUUUAGUGUUCUCUUUGACUGCUUGCUGCUGUAGCCACAUGGAAUCAGAUUCUGUGAAAAUUGCUGUUGAAGGAGUUUGAAUUGUGUAAGAAUGAAAACUGUGAUUUGUUUAUCAUGGACACAAGCAAGCAUCACAGACAGGAAACUUUUCUUUUUAAAGAAAUGCAUCAAGUGUCAGAAGCAACAGUAGAUAAUUGUUCCUUUCAAUCAUAAUAUUCAACUUACAGUUGUUCUGUGAACAGAAAUUGGCCAAUUGUCCUUGCUCUUUUUCUCUGAAAUCGAUCUUAAUAUUUGUCAUGGACUGCAGCUGUUGAUGUAGCACAAGCUUUCUUGCAAACCUAGCAGUUGGAGCUUUGGUGAAGCAGAAGGAGCUGAUGCAUUUAGUGUGCAAGCCAUCUGUUGAUGAACUUGGUAUACUGUCAUGUGGAGGUCUCGUCUUGCUACCUGGUUUAAUGCCCAAGUGAUCCCUAAAGGCCAUGAAAAGGAAUGUCAACCAACAAUCAAGCUUUAUACAAUUGACUAUGAUGAUGAAUUCCAUGACAAAUGCAGAGCCUGAAUCUGAUGAAUGAAUGAAGCUUGUGCAUUAUGGAUUGCGAAAAUGCUUAGAUAAGGGAUUUGUAGCAAGAUGAUGCAGCUCAGGAUGCCAAAGAAAGGUGAAUUGAGCACAUUGUCCUGGAAUACGUGAAUAGAAGAUGAUCCCAAGUAUUGACAUGUGAGUUGUCGUUCCUGCUGGGAUUAAUCCACGGUUUCUCUCAGACAAUCUUUGAUUAAUUUUUGAUGUCUUUGCCUUGUUGUGCCUCCUUGCAAUUAGUAUGAUUAUUAUGGAGGUUCAAUCUACCAGCCCGAGUGUACAAAUAAAAAAUAUUAGAUAUUUGGGUUAGAUUUAAGAUGGCUUUAGAUACAUGAAUGGAUAAGGGAAACUUGCAACCAUUCAGGAGUGGCAAUAGAUUUCUUUUUUCGUACUACCAUGUAGAGCUCCCAGUUUUUUGUCUUGCCAAUAAAGUUUGUAUGUUUAUGAUA